AGGCGCUCGGUGCGGUUGCGCUGCACGAUGCGCUGCCGCCGGCUCUGCUGGCAGAAGCCGUAGAGGAAGGCGGUGAGCUGCGCGCACGACUCGUCGGGGCCCCGGAAGCGCCGGUCCACGAUGUAGAUGCCUGCGGGGGCCCCCGCCGCCGUCAGCGCCCCCCCCCCGCUGCUGCGAGCGCCCUCCCGGCCCCCCAUGCCUGCACCCAGGGGCCCAGGCGUCCGGGGAACCCCCUUGAGGGGCCCAGGUGUCCGGGGAACCCACCCAAGGGGCCCAGGCGUCCGGGGACCCACCCGAGGGGCCCAGGUGUCCGGAGGACCCAGGUGUCCGGGGAGCCCCCCUCCAAGGGGCCCAGGUGUCUGGGGGACCCCUGAGGGGCCCAGGUGUCCAGGGGAGCCCUGAGGGGCCCAGGUGUCCGGCGAACCCACCCAAGGGGCCCAGGCAUCCGGGGAACCCCCCAAGGGGCCCAGGCAUCCGGGGGAGCCACAAGGGACCCAGGUGUCCGGGGGACCCACCCAAGGGGCCCAGGCGUCCGGGGAACCCCCCAAGGGGCCCAGGCGUCCAAGGGAGCCACAAGGGAGCCAGGUGUCCAGGGAACCCACCCGAGGGGCCCAGGCAUCCGGGGGACCCACCCCGGGGGCCCAGGUGUCCAGGGGACUCAGGCAUCAGGGAAACCCCCCCUCCAAGGGACCCAGGCGUCCGGGGAGCCACUGGGGGGGGCCCAGGCAUCCAGGGAAGCCACAAGGGACCCAGGUGUCCAGGGGACCCAGGUGUCCGGGAAGCCCCCCCUCCAAGGGAGCCAGGUGUCCAGGGAACCCCCAAGGGGCCCAGGCAUCCGGGGAAGCCACAAGGGGCCCAGGCAUCCGGGGAAGCCACAAGGGACCCAGGUAUCCGGGGGACCCAGGCGUCCGGGAAACCCCCCUCCGAGGGACCCAGGUAUCCGGGGGGCCCAGGUGUCCAGGGAGCCGCCAGGGGGGCCCAGGCGUCCGGGAAACCCCCCUCCGAGGGACCCAGGCGUCCAGGGGGCCCAGGCGUCCGGGGGGCCCAGGCGUCCGGGGCUCACCGUAGGCCGAGGGGUCGGCGAU
rnacentral:lncRNA from 1 species